rnacentral:rRNA from 1 species
UACGUAGGUGGCGAGCGUUAUCCGGAUUUACUGGGUGUAAAGGGCGUGUAGGCGGGUUUGCAAGUCGGGUAUGAAAGAUUCGGGCUUAACCCGGAGAGGUCAUCCGAAACUGCAGAUCUUGAGUGCUGGAGAGGAUAGUGGAAUUCCUGGUGUAGCGGUAAAAUGCGUAGAGAUCAGGAGGAACACCAGUGGCGAAGGCGGCUAUCUGGACAGUAACUGACGCUGAGGCGCGAAAGCGUGGGGAGCAAACAGGAUUAGAUACCCUGGUA